GGAGAUGGAGCCAAGUCUUGCAAUUGAUUUUACUAUCAAAGAUAUCCUUAAGUUCUGCAAUGCAUCUCUGUGUUCUUUGUUUGUAGUUAGACUCUGGUAUUUAAAUCUACUCCUUUCAAUUUGUUUGUAGUUAGACUCUGGAAUUUAAAUCAACACACAUGUAUCACUCAUUAUCUUGCACCAUGAAUGGAAGUGGUUCUCUCUUUGACACUCUUCAUCAAUUUUGAAAUAUGUAUCUUGAAGUGAAAGGGUGGAAAGCUUUGAAGACUUGGUAAAAUCAUGGUGAGAUUCAUUAACAAAUGAUGGCUGGGAUCACUAGCUCUUUCAUUACUGACGCUGCAGCCUGCCAGCCAGUUAUUAUACUUCUCAUCAUCCCUGAG
rnacentral:lncRNA from 1 species